GACGAACGCUGACGGUGUGCUUUAGACAUGCAAGUCGAACGAGAAAGCCCUUCGGGGUGAGCAGAGUGGCGAACGGGUGAGUAACACGUGGAUAACCUGCCCCUCGCAGAGGGAUAACCGGGGGAAACCCCGGCUAAUACCUCGUACGCCUGCCGGGUCGCAUGGCUUGGCAAGGAAAGGUAGCUUCGGCCAUCCGGCGAGGGCUGGGCCCGCGGUCCAUUAGCUAGUUGGUGAGGUAACGGCCCACCAAGGCGACGAUGGAUAGCUGGUCUGAGAGGAUGAUCAGCCACACUGGGACUGAGACACGGCCCAGACUCCUACGGGAGGCAGCAGUCGGGAAUCUUGCGCAAUGGGCGAAAGCCUGACGCAGCAACACCGUGUGGGCGACGAAGGCCUUCGGGUCGUAAAGCCCUGUUGUUGGGGACGAAGGACGAAGGGUUAAUAGCCCCUAGUCUGACGGUACCCUUCGAGGAAGCCCCGGCUAACUACGUGCCAGCCGCCGCCGUAAAAC
rnacentral:rRNA from 1 species